rnacentral:sRNA from 1 species
GACCAUUCUAAUAAUUAUUUUAGAAUUAUGGCCAUACGGACAGCCAGGUCAACUGCCGA